rnacentral:rRNA from 1 species
AACGAACGCUGGCGGCAUGCCUAACACAUGCAAGUCGAACGAGUUCCUUCGGGGUCUAGUGGCGCACGGGUGCGUAACGCGUGGGAAUCUGCCCUUAGGUUCGGAAUAACAGUUAGAAAUGACUGCUAAUACCGGAUGAUGACGUUAAGUCCAAAGAUUUAUCGCCUGAGGAUGAGCCCGCGUAGGAUUAGCUAGUUGGUGUGGUAAAGGCGCACCAAGGCGACGAUCCUUAGCUGGUCUGAGAGGAUGAUCAGCCACACUGGGACUGAGACACGGCCCAGACUCCUACGGGAGGCAGCAGUGGGGAAUAUUGGACAAUGGGCGCAAGCCUGAUCCAGCAAUGCCGCGUGAGUGAUGAAGGCCUUAGGGUUGUAAAGCUCUUUUACCCGAGAUGAUAAUGACAGUAUCGGGAGAAUAAGCCCCGGCUAACUCCGUG